UCUGUCUGCUGUCUGUGUUUCUGUCUCCGUCCGUCUCUAUAUAUCGUCUAUCUCUCUGUCUCUCUGUCUGUGUUUCUGUCUCCGUCCGUCUCUAUAUAUCUCUCUAUCUCUCUCAGGGUUUACAGGGAAAGUUAGCUGAGAAAUCGAGGCGACCAAUUCUCGCAUGUCAUGUUGUCCUUCCCAACAACCCUGUGAUAGUCAAACAUUGAUAAAAAAAGCAAUAAUAUCAAUGGCGACAACUAUUAUUAUGUUUUUCUACUGGUUGAGCAACAAGCUUAUUAUGGCGUUAAAGCAAAAUCUAAAAAUAAGAUGCGCCUAUUCAACCAUGAGGGCGUAUCAACCUGACAUGUUUGAGUCAUGUUAUUGAGACAGCCACGGAGCAUUAUUGAUAUUAUUCAGUUAUGAUUGAAUACCUAUCCAAGCCGAAUUGCAACACAGAAUUCAGAGGGCCAUGAUGACAAUAUAUACAACUUCCUGCUGACUUAUCAAAGCAACAGGGCUGAAGUCCAGCACGGUUGAUACAGAUAGAAUGACACGCCCAGGAGCGUGAAAGAGUUUACUCCAGAUUCCAGUUGUAAGCACAGAAAUUAUCCCUACUCGUUCAUAUACUUUGAGCCCCGGAUGUUGAAACAUUGCCAGCAAAGUCUGAAUUGAUGGGGGGAAUACCAAGAGUCGCAGUGUCACUUUUUGCUGCAGACUACUGGAUACUUACAUUGUCAAACAUCAGAUAACCACAAACACAGUUGUGUGCAGCAUCCAUUUCAUGAAGGAUGACUUCAAAUGGACAGGAAGCCACCCUCUUGGAGACACUCUUGCCAUAGAGAUGAUGUUGUUCAAAAGUCUCAGAAAAUGUCACCACCUGAGGAAUCUCCAACAAGGAGCCCACCAGUCACCAUCUCUGAUACAUGCAGCAGAAUGUGAUGCCACGAUCACUAACCACCAGUCCUACAUAGACCAACUCAAUGAGAAACUACGUGAACAAGGGAGGCAACUCAAGGAAAAGGAUGACAAGACUGAAGAACUUAACAGACGACUUGAACUUGAAAAGUUUGGAGUUUGUAAAUUCAUGUAUGAUGAUAUAUUGCUGGAAUAUUAUACAGGAUUACCAUCAUUUCAAACAUUGCAAGAUUUUUUUGAUUUUAUCAAACCUACAUUACCAAGGUGAAUCCGGUCUUCCAAAACCAAACAGUUCUCACUCUAUUCCAUUAUUUGAGGAGUUAUUCAUGUUUCUUGUCAGAAUUAAGCUGGGUUCAAGUGAAGUAGAUUUAUCUGUUAGGUUCAAUUGUCAUGUCUCUACCAUAAGUAGAAAGGCUUUGACUUGGUGCAAUUAUCUCAAUGUGUUUUGGGUAGCAUUAACAUGUGGCCUCCUGCUGAUGUUGUUCUGGAAAAUACGCCUGAAGACGUCCGAUUGUUAUACCCUAGAACUCGAGUCAUCAUUGACUGCACGGAAAUAUAUACCAAGAGACCCUCCUCUGUACAUUUAGGUUCCCUACUGUAUUCUCAUUACAAGAGUAGGAAUACAAGGCCAGGCCUGGUGGGUAUUGCUCCUCAUGGGGCAUUAACCUUUGUAUCUGCCAUGUUCUCAGGUUGUAUGUCUGACACGGAAAUCACCAAACAGUGGACUCUUGUCAUUGCUUGAGCCAGGGGAUGUCAUCGUGGAUGGCAAGGGUUUUCUUAUAGGCAAACUAUUGGAAGGAACUGGUGUGUCAAUAAAAACUCCUCAUUUCUUGAGUCCUGCUUGUCAAUUUGAGCAAACCGAAAUCGAAGAAAAUCGACAAAUUUCCAGUCAUAGGAUCCACAUUGAAAGGCAUAUCAAACUAGUAAAAGAGUACCAUGUACCAAAUGGUACAGUUCCCUCAUCAAUGGCUUGGUCAAUCAGUCAGCUGUGGGGUGUAGUAAACUUACUAACCCUGUUUAGAAGGCCCUUAUAGCCAAGGGAGAUAAGCAAUAUUCAGCAUUUACAGCUCUUAGCCUUGAACAUCAAAUGUUGAUAUCUAAUUGUUUUGAACAGCAGUUUCACCAACAUUUCAUUUAUGUGAUAUUGAGUAGCUGGUACAUGUACUCUUGUACUCAUUGAAUAUCACCCCAAGUAGGAGUAAUACCUUGCCCAAGGGCACUAGCACAAGAAGAGGUAGACAUAUAAAUGUAAAUGAAUUUCUUCUGUAAUAUAAAGUCUUAGCUAACAGACUCUUGAAAUACAUUGAUGGAUUCAGAUGAGUAUUAAUGAAAAUGUCACAAUAACUCAGUUUGAGAUGUAACGUAUGUGUUGUUCAAUUUCAACUUGAUAAAAUAGGUAAUUCCAUCUUUUGGGAAUUUUCAUUUAUAGGUAAGAUAUUAUAAUGUGGUGUAAGGGGAGACAACCUGUGAUAAAUUAUGAAUUGUUCAUAUUUUCACUGUUAGCAAAAGGCAAAUGAAACCAGUUGUAAUUGUAAUUUAUCUGAUGAUGACUUAUGACAGAUUUUAUAUUUUGUAUCACAGACAGACAAUUCCUAUGAAGUAUUAUUACACAUGCUCAUACUGUGUUUCAGCAAAUUAUGUAUUGUAGAAUCAAACUUGACUGCCACUUCAUGACAGUACAUGACAUGUAAAUUGAGAUCUUCAAGCCCUUUAUGAUGCAUGUCUAUUAAUGCUGUUUAUGUCACAUGAAUGUUUGUCCUGCUUUGUUUUGUUUUGCGAUACAUUGGUAAGCUGGGUCCAGACAUUUUGCUUUUAUUGCUUACCAUUUCUUAAUCAUGGAUGACAGGAAAAAUGUGAGACCUUAUAUGCUGAUGGAAGUUAUCGCCCCUGGGUAAAACAUCUGUAAUUUAAUAUUGAAGUUAACAAUUUUCUAAAAUUUGUACCCAAUUUACACUUUGAAAGUAAUUGUAUAUAGAAAAUUGGAUUGUUAUUUAUCAGUAAUUAAUACAGUGCUUUCCUACUGCCAAUGUGUUUAUUGUUAUUACACUGGUGUUAAUACAUAACAAAUUGAAAAUAUAUUUGUAUUUAUUGUC
rnacentral:misc_RNA from 1 species